AUCUGAAAGGAAAUUGACAAAUCAUUACAUUUCUUUUUCCUUCAGCCAGAUUUAGGCCCAGGGUGACAUGAUUGAAGCGGCACUUUCUAACACAAAAACAGAAGGAGGCGGCACUGUUUUGAAAUUCAGGUUUCAUGGACUCUUUGUUCGACUUACUUGAAUCUUCAUGGGCUCACUAGUCGCCUCCAUUAGUCCGGCAAUUUCCACCGUCUCUCCGAAUACGGAGUAAUGAGGGAUCUUAGUUCCAACAACGCCCGCCACGCAACUCCCCGAAUGAAUACCCAUCCUCAACUUGAUACGAUAACCCGGUUUAUGUUGGACCUCGAAGGUCACCACCUAAAUCAGGUAUCAGGUACUUACAAUAAUUGAAGAUCUUGCAAAUAUUGCCUGAUACUCUACCUUGGCCAAGAGAUCAAGAGCCAUUUUAGAGAUCUCUGCAGCAUGGUGGUCAUUGACCUCGGGCACACCUGAGGCCACCAUAUAUGCAUCGCCAAUGGUUUCUACCUUGUAAACGUCAUAGUUUUCCAACCGAAUGUCGAAUAGAUUGUAGAGGGUGUUCAACAAGUCGACGAUUUGAUGAGCGGUGCUCUCCGAUGCCAAUGACGUAAAACCAACGAUAUCGCACAAGAAAAUGGAGACACUGUUGAAGCUCUCUGGUUCAGGAACCUUGCCUUUCUUCAUUUGGUGGAUGAUUUGUCGGGGAAGAAGAUCCGUCAAGAGCUUCUCGGUUUUUUUCUUCUCGCGUUUGUACGUUUCAACUUUCUCGUCAUAGAUUUCGGAAAACCUU